UAUUGGACAAUGGGGGAAACCCUGAUCCAGCGACGCCGCGUGAGUGAAGAAGUAUUUCGGUAUGUAAAGCUCUAUCAGCAGGGAAGAAAGAAAUGACGGUACCUGAGUAAGAAGCCCCGGCUAACUACGUGCCAGCAGCCGCGGUAAUACGUAGGGGGCAAGCGUUAUCCGGAUUUACUGGGUGUAAAGGGAGCGUAGACGGCAGCGCAAGUCUGGAGUGAAAUGCCGGGGCCCAACCCCGGAACUGCUUUGGAAACUGUGCAGCUUGAGUGCGGGAGAGGUAAGUGGAAUUCCUAGUGUAGCGGUGAAAUGCGUAGAUAUUAGGAAGAACACCAGUGGCGAAGGCGGCUUACUGGACCGUAACUGACGUUGAGGCUCGAAGGCGUGGGGAGCAAACAG
rnacentral:rRNA from 1 species